rnacentral:rRNA from 2 species
UCUGGUGACACAUCGGAGGGGCCACACCUGUUCCCAUUCCGAACACAGAAGUUAAGCCCUCUUGAGGCGAUGAUACUCUUUCGGGGAAAGUAGCUAGUCGCCAGAA